CCAAGCACCCAGCUUCAACAACGGCCAACCCACGGCCGCUUCUGUUUCAUCCAACCAGUGCCUCUCAUCAGGGCAACACCGAAGAGCCAGGGAGGCGACUUACUAAAGCACGAAUUCGCUCAAGCCACUUGCCUGCCUAAGACACUGGAGCAACCUCCCUUGGCGCUUAGAACAAGCAAGACCCAGACUGCUCAUCCCGGCCCCCAGGCCCUGCACGAUCUGAUCCCUCGGCCUUGCCCACCAGCCUCAGGGCCUUCGCGCACGGGCAGCUGGGUUCACGCCCGUUCUCCCUCCUAGAGCAGUCUAGAGCAGGACCCGCCUCUCGGGCACGGCUACCCUUUCCGCAGCACCUUGCGUGUGGCAUUACUGGGACACGGGUCUCCAUGGGACACACGCUUCUGCACAUCUUACGAUCAAGAGAUGGUUCUCGACCAUCUCUCUAAGGGUGUUUGUACAGAGAACAGCUUCGGAAAAUGGGGUCUCCAGCCCAAGCAAAGGCGAGCAGGCAUGCUUACCGGCCAUUUUCAAAGCUGGCCUGGAUUCAGGAUUCUUCUCCUGUGAGCAACCCCACGCACACCGGAAUCUCUGCUUUGCGUUGCCCUGUGGGAAUUGGAGUUCCAGGACCCAGCCCACGAAAAGAAUGCUGAUACUGUUUCCUGCUUGGCUGUGAGUGAUAAAGCCCGUUGCCUCUGACCCAGGAAUGUCAUGCCUUCUGCCAGCACCCACGAAACGGCGGCAGGCCACUUGUUAGCUUACGAGUAGGGCAAAAGCCCAGAUUCUUUUUAGAUCUCGACAGGUGUGUGCCCAGUGUGUGUUUGCUACGUAGAACCACGCACUCUCUCCCGAUGGGCACUGAGCCCUUCAGCUCCCCCACUUAUCGGCAGACAUUGGUGGGUCAUUGCUGUCCCGGCUGGAAGAUGAAUCAGCGCGGAAAUCCUCAGCCAGAGAAGCCAAGGAAGCUCCGUAUCUAUGUCCCUCCCCUCUCCCUCCACUCCGGAUUUCCCAGCUGGACCCUCAGGGCUCGAAGCAAAGACCCCCACGUGGCACGUCUGACGCUUCGUGGGAUAAAUAAAUGGUGGGCGUAGCGUUG